rfam:Schistosoma rodhaini strain Burundi genome assembly, scaffold: SROB_scaffold0000178
AUGCAGCUGACGAGUCUCAAAUAGGACUAGACGUGCAUCCUGGAU